AAAUUCCUAGAAACCGUUUUAUUCAUUUAUGCGUCUGAAAAAUUCAAACUUGUCUUUUUUAACCUAUUUUUCUAACAUUACAUACGAUACAGAUCAAUCAAAAGUCGGAGUUCAAUGCGAUCUGUAAAAAAAAUUUGCAUCUUAUAAACAAAAAAUAUAUAAAAACAUAUUGAAAUCUGACUGUUUUCCGAGGCGUGAAAGUUUAUCCUGGGUAAUCGUUUUCGUCCGUAGUCAGCGCAGGUCAUUUUUCGAUUUUCUCGUUAAUUCUCCAAAUAAAUAGGGAAAAAUGGCAAUUUUUCGGUUAAUUUUUAUUGAUCUCUUGUUGGUUACUUUGGAAACACGGGAAGAAAUACGAUUAAUAAUAUUCUGUUCCGAAUCGUUUUUCGUCAGCGACGGUUUAUCGCUGCGCAAAUGAAAUUACUAUAUAAUAUUAUGCAAUAUUCCGUCAGACUGCUUUCUUAAAAACAGUGGCACACACCCAUCAGCGAAAUCAACAUUUUAUGCAUUACAAUUUUUAUCAAUAACCGUCCGACUUAUUAACGACAAUGUAUAUAUUGCUACACUGCAGUAUAUUAUAGUAUUGUAUAACUAUUAACUAUAUUAUAAUACUAUACAUGCAAGAUUUACGGGGUAUACGCCUUACUGUAAUUUUGAUAAAACGAACCGUUCUCGUAGCUAUACGAAAUUACACAUUUUCGCCCCGAUUUUUAUCACCACUACGAUGCCUUAUCAUCGUCGCCGUAGAAAAAUCGCGUGACACGAAAGCGUCCGAUUUUCUGCAAAUGUUCGCCGAUUACAGUAAUAACAAUAACAAUAAUAAUACUUCGAGGGCACACGAUAAACCAAACUCUAAGUAUAAAAGGUAAAUUAUACAUACACGUAUAUGUAUACGCGCGUUAUCAGCUACGGCCGAUAUUAUGGCAUUAUACGAUUUUUUUAUAAUGAUAUAUACGCGGUUAACGAUUUUCUACAACAUUAUUCGACAAAUAUUAUUAUUAUAAUUGCAUACGCGUGUGCGGUCACAUAUAGACGGUAGUUAAAUUCGGAAAAACUUCGAAGGUGGUGGGAGGAGCUAAAUUUAUUGAAAAUUGAGGGGCGUCAAUCCGAGAACUAUAACUAAACAUUCAGUUAACCCAUCGCGGAGACAAGAAUUCAAAAAUGUUUUUCUCUCGCACAAGAUUUGUUCGUAAACAAUGUUUUUUUUAUCCCACUUCCCCG